AGAAUCAACGCUGGCGGCGUGCCUAACACAUGCAAGUCGAACGAGAAAGUGGAGCAAUCCAUGAGUAAAGUGGCGCACGGGUGAGUAACGCGUGACUAACCUACCCUUGAGUGGGGAAUAACUGAGGGAAACCUUAGCUAAUACCGCAUAAUACCUACGGGUCAAAGGAGCAAUUCGCUUAAGGAGGGGGUCGCGGCAGAUUAGCUAGUUGGCGGGGUAAUGGCCCACCAAGGCAGUGAUCUGUA
rnacentral:rRNA from 1 species